AUUUUUGUAUCUUAGAAUUUAGAAACUAAAAAUUAGUCCUAACCAAACAUUCAUUGAGACAAUGAUUGCUCAACAUGCGUGAUAAAGGAAAAUGAUGAUAAGAUAUUGACUAGCACAUUAAUUUGACCGAUGGCGAGUCGUGCCACGUGGCGUUAUCUACUGCCAUUGCUUUAUCUUUACGUCUUCCUUGUGGAGCAUGGUCGGUUGAAUUCCGGCAUCUCCCUAUCUAAAAAUACUUCUACUUCACCAGUAAGUUUAUUCUCUGUAAUUACAAGGCUCAAACUUGAUCAUAUUUCAUUGCUAAAAUCAGAAGGUGAUAAGGCAGCUCAAGAUCUAUAUAUAUAUAUCUUCCUAUAGACUCACAAUAUUUCCAGAUUUUGUUCAUCAAGGCGAAUCGACAAUUAUUGAGACCAAUUGUGUGAGCUUAAGUACUUAAAGGAUACAGUUCUAUUAGUUCAGUUGGUUAAGCUCCAAAAAUGAGAAGCAUAUGAUGAUUAGUAUUUCAAAAGAAGAUAAUCAAGAUUCUCCAACAAAAAAUGAAGAAAAAACAACUGAUCUUCAUGGCAAGAUUGUUAAUGCCAGAGCUUCUUCAUCCGUCUCAACUCCAUGGUUAAGAUUGAAAGAUCCGCGAAUCGUUCGAGUUUCGCGUGCUUUCGGAGGAAAAGAUAGGCAUAGCAAAGUUUGCACCAUAAGAGGAUUGAGAGAUAGAAGAGUUAGACUUUCAGUUCCUACAGCAAUUCAAUUGUAUGAUCUUCAAGAUAGGCUCGGACUUAAUCAGCCUAGCAAGGUGAUAGAUUGGUUGCUUAACGCUGCGAAAAAUGAAAUCGAUGAACUCCCUCCACUUCCAUCAAUGCCACAUAUGAAUUUAGGGCUGCAUCAUCAAGUUGGUGCCUCACAAUCUAAGAUGUUGAAUAUGAAUAACAAUACCAUGAAUUGGGAAGAUGAUCAAGAUGGAUUAAGUACUAGACCGAAUUUUUGGAGCAAUGAAGAGUUUUUUAGGGCAAAAUCAAAAGAAAUUGCAAGAGAUUGUGUCGAUGAGAAAGACAAAUAUAGAAAACUUAAUGAAGAUGAUCAUAAACAAGAAAGCAGUGAAGAAGGCAAUACUCAUCCUUCUUCAUCUCCGGCGGGUGAUCUGAUGAACAAUCCGAUGCCAUAUGGUUCUUUCUUUCAAUUAGAACAUCCAAAUUUUCCAUUUUCGCAUGGAUUUACAAACCAAGACAAUGAUCUACACAAUCUAAAUGCUAUGCCAUUGCCAUCUACAUUGUCUCUAUCAUCUGGCUCUCAAAUUUUAGUAGCACCACAACCUUAUUUUCCUUCAGCAGAGAUUGAUCCAAGACAAAUGAAUCAUUUUCAAAUGUUAGCCUCAACUACUCAAAACCUCUUCACACCAAAUCCAUACUCCAUAAAUCAAUCUCCGAGACCUUUACAUUUCAGCUUAGCACCAAGCCUUUUUCAUUCCCUAAAUAAUGAAAAUCAUCACCCAGCAGAUAAUAAAGAGCAGUAGUAUUUUUCCUUCUAAACAAAGACAUCAUCAAUGGCGAUACGGAGAUUACAAGACAGCAGAAUCAAAUUAAUAAGCUCCAAAUUUGAGAAGGCAAAAAGGGAGGGGAGAGCGCUUGUGGGAGGAAUCGAACUCACAACCUAGCAGAUUGCUGCCCAUCGCUUAUAUCAUUUGAACUAUAGUUCAUUGGUGCAUUUCUUUAAUUAUAUCUGGUCUCUCUUUAAAUAGCUAGUAGCUGUUGAAGUGGGAAUCCCACAUUAGUUAUAUGUGUAAAUGGACAUGUAUUUAAAUAUUGGUUGGGCACCUCCACUUAAUACCAAUUGGUUUUAAGAUGGAAUCUAACAAUAGCUUCUUAAAGUCAAGAAGUAAAACCCUAGAAAGCAUAAAGAGCAAUAAACAAGGUAAUAAUACCCUUUAAUUUAUCUGUACAAAAAGUCUGUUGCAAGGACUAGGACAGGUCCCAGCAGCUUGAAUCAGGCUAAUAAUUUUAAGCUUGAGGAAAUUAAGAAGAGAAAGUAAAGAGGAAGAAGAAGAAGAGUGACGUGUUAAGUUGACACAAGAUCCAACAAAGUAAUGUAUUGAAGGAAUAGCAGCUUUAGAUGGUCAAGAAAGACACUGAUCGAAAGUUGCAUCCAAUUGAAAAAUUAGAAUCUGUGGUCCUUGGCAAACACACACACAUAUAAGGUAAAUCGUUUAUAGUUUGGAUUUUGGAAA